rnacentral:rRNA from 1 species
UACGAAGGGAGCUAGCGUUGUUCGGAAUCACUGGGCGUAAAGAGCUCGUAGGCGGUCUGUCGCGUCGAUCGUGAAAACUUGGGGCUUAACCCUGAGCUUGCGGUCGAUACGGGCAUGACUGGAGUUCGGCAGGGGAGACUGGAAUUCCUGGUGUAGCGGUGAAAUGCGCAGAUAUCAGGAGGAACACCGGUGGCGAAGGCGGGUCUCUGGGCCAAUACUGACGCUGAGGAGCGAAAGCGUGGGGAGCGAACAGG